GCUGGUUUGGCUCAGUGGAUAGAGCGUCAGCCUGCAAUCUGAAGGGCCCCAGUUCAAUUCUGGUCAACAGCA
rnacentral:tRNA from 1 species